rnacentral:misc_RNA from 1 species
UUUCCGUAGGUGAACCUGCGGAGGGAUCAUUAUUGUAUAACCGAGGUGCAAAGGCUCUCUCUGUACCCCACGGUCGUUCACGCACGCGUCCCCCCGCACACCUCCAUCGCACCCCGCGGUUCACGACGGCGUAGGUACCCCUUUGGUAUGUUCUGGUGGGGGCUUACGUCUGCACAUAAACUUUAACUGCAAUCUAGAGUGUAUUUGUUGUUUUUGCGGUCGCACAACCAAUCCAACUUUCAACAACGGGUCUCUUGCUUCUCUCAUCUAUGAAGAACG